rnacentral:ncRNA from 1 species
UGCAUUCGGUAAAGUGAAUGAUUAGAGGAAAUGUGGGACGAAACGUCUUCAACCAGAUUCGCAAAUCUUCGAUGAGUAUGAUUCGCAAAUCUUCAAUGUUAUGACGUAUCGCUUACUUGAAUGAAGCGUAGACAUUGAAUGUGUGCUUCACGUACGUCAUUUUUGAUAAGCAGAAUUGACAUUGUGAGAUGAACCA